CUUUUGUCUAUUUUUAAUCUUUUGUCUGGAUAACUAUUAUUGAUUAAUGUGUUAAAAGUACGGAUAACUAUAAUUGUUACAGUUAAUAAUCGAAUCACUACUUUCACUUUUUGUCGUAAUUUAUAUUGCAUUUUUUAAUUUAAAAUUGUUGCUAUCUUGUUAAUACUUUUGUGACUUUACUUUUCACAUGGUAAGGUUUAAAAAUUUAUUAAUCUAAUGCAUUUUAUUUCAUGAUGAGAUUAUGAUAAAAGUUUUAAGAACUCUAAGAUUAUCUCAACCAUGGAAUUUAAGAAUCUGUUUGAACUGAAUCAAAGGUGAACUUGUGUAUUAUACAAGUUUCGAUGGGUAUGGAGGUUAUUACUCUGUCUGGGAUUACUAUUACUCUGUGCUUUCUUUCAAUACGUUUUCAAAGUUCAAAUGGUGACGGAAAAAAAGAGGUGAAUACAAGGGGAAAGAAGAGCAUGCAAAGUUUCCAAUGUAACUCUAAAUGAAUCAGCCGAAAGACAAGUUUUCUGGAAAAUGAUGUGAACCAUUGACAAAGGGAACAACAAUCUGUUUAUUAACAUGAACCCGAAACUCUGAGAGAUUUUGUAUUAUAACAAGUUUCUUUGGAUGGAACAAAGAAAGAGGAGAAAUUUUUUUCUCCAAGAAAUAUCUCGCAACGUUUAUCCUGACGAGACCUGAAAGGUUAAAGAGGACACUCCUGGUAUCUAUCCACACACUAACUAUCAAGUGUACAUCAGUAAUAUAAUUUGGAGAGUCUGACAACCUUAAGGACAAUUUAUC